UACGUAGGGGGCAAGCGUUGUUCGGAAUUACUGGGCGUAAAGGGCUCGUAGGUGGCCUACUAAGUCAGACGUGAAAUCCCCAGGCUCAACUGGGGAACUGCGUCUGAUACUGGAUGGCUUGGAUUCGGGAGAGGAAUGCGGAAUUCCAGGUGUAGCGGUGAAAUGCGUAGAUAUCUGGAGGAACACCGGUGGCGAAGGCGGCGACCUGGGUCGAGACUGACGCUGAGGCGCGAAAGCGUGGGGAGCAAACAGG
rnacentral:rRNA from 1 species